GGACCAGUGACCUCAUGUAGAAGGAGUCGGAGGUAGAAGCAUUCUUGCUGGUUUGGCGGGAUGUUGUAAACUCGACCCAGGCAGGAGUCAAACUUGACACCUGGGAAGCCUUCGACGAUUUUGCCGGAUUUCCGUCGAACCCAGGUGUUGUUAUACCACACGAAGUACGAUGGGACCUGGGGUCAAUAGUUAAAAAGGUCGAGUUGCGUCCCCUAGACAGUCUGUGUUUUGUGUU